CGGGUGCCUCUCGCCCUGCAGGACGUGGCUGGCCUGGUCUGCCCCCAGCUGAGCCUCACCUGAGGGAGAGCUGGGGUGGGCCGCCUCGUUUACGACCGUGUAGUCGUCUUUUGCACACAAAGCCAUGUGAGUCCGUACGUGAGUCCUGUGGAAAGACAAGACAUGGAAUAGGAGUGACGUCCGUCCCCAGGCAUGAAGUGGAGAGCAUCACGCUGUGUGAGUUAAACACUGGCCAAGCACGGUGUGAGUCGGAGCCGGGGACCUGGCCAGAUGAGGGCUGCGUGCAGCUUUCACACCCCAGGCACGUGAGCACCGCCAAGCCCAGCCUCAGCCAGCAGCUGCUCUGCAAUGUGGAGUCACCAGUGGCCCCAAGGAUGGCAGGCCUGAGCUCCGGAUAUUUCUCCUGUUCUGGAGACAGUGAGAAGUGAAAGAGAAAUGGCUGCCCCUGCACCACUUACCGCGAAGGAGGCUCAAGGCUGGGGGGCCCCUCUGCCUUCCAGUGACCGCCCGUGUCACAUCCUGACCCGCUCAGCAGAGACGGCCAGAGGCAUGGAUGCACGCUGACUCGUGGACGGCCGCUGUUUGACGAGACCAUCAAGGAGGGAGGAGCACCCGUGGAAAGGCGUGGCAGGGUGGUCGGGGCAGAGGUGUACAUCAGCCUAUCCAAUGCUCACGGCUGGAGGACGCCGCGCCCUGUGAAUGCUCACUGAGGACCAUCCCGGGCACUGGGGCUCUCCAUGUGAGAAUGGACAAUAUGCUGCCUUCCCAGCUGCCCCAUCCUUCCUGCGAGAGCUUGGGGAUGGGUGGCCACAGUGGCACUGGGGAGAACACGAGGGCUCCCCAGCAAGCGUUUUCUCUCAUGGAGGUGGCUCUGGUCACAGCGUCACUGCAGGGCGCAGCCACGGUGGCGGCCAAUGGAAACUGGGCUCUUCUUUUUCUUUUUUUUUUUGAGACAGAGUCUCGCUCUGUCACCCAGGCUGGAGUACAAUGGC
rnacentral:lncRNA from 10 species